AUGCCGAAUUGCAGGGGCGAUUACGAUAAUGAACCUAAAGUCAGUGUAUUUUAUUUUCCAUCUGACGAGAAUUUAAGACGAAAAUGGUUAUCGGCUGUUCACAGACAAGACUGGACACCGAAUAUGUGAACUGCAUUUCAACUAGGACGAUAUUUUAAGCAGUACCAGCAUGUAUGACCCGAAAACUGGUACACUCUUGUCAGCACCGUUGGAUCGUCGACGCUUGAGAAAAGAUGCUAUCCCAUCGAAGUUGCCUGGAUGCCCAUCUUACUUGUCGAGUCGUCAUACUGCAGUACGAGAGGACCCAGAAAUUCGUAGGGGGCGUUUAGAAAAUCGUGCUCUUCAAAUUGCUAUCCAAGAAAGUGUGGACACACAUGCGAAAAUGAUUGAUGCAAUGUCGUGCGAUAGUUUGGAGCAACUGAAAAAGUUGAGUGAAUGUGAAAAGCACAGUGACUG